rnacentral:lncRNA from 1 species
UUUAUUUUGGUUGAAAUAUGUUGAUUUGGUUAGGCCAGGCCCAAUUUUGAAAUUGGCCCAAAUUAAUCCACGUUCUCUCUCCUUGUCUUUCCUCGAAGCAAACGAAUAGCAGAAAAACAAAUAAAAUAAAAUAAAAGAGGAAGAAAACUACAAAAGGCGAAAGAAGUAUCUCAAUAACACAAAAGUCGUCUUCGAUCAAAAUCCCCAAUUCUUCGAAACCCUUGUUUGAUUCAAUUCUCAGAUCCGAAACAUUUCGCGAUGGGAAACACGGAGAAGCUGUUGAAUCAGAUCAUGGACUUGAAAUUCACGUCAAAAUCUCUUCAGCGCCAGGCGAGAAAAUGCGAGAAGGAAGAGAAAGCCGAGAAAUUGAAGGUGAAAAUAAUAAGGGUCUGUAUCGCGCCCGUGUAAUAUAUAUAUAUAUAUUUCCAAUCGACCGUUACAGAUUUUGUGAAUUUAUUUAUUUUGGUUGAAAUAUGUUGAUUUGGUUAGGCCAGGCCCAAUUUUGAAAUUGGCCCAAAUUAAUCCACGUUCUCUCUCCUUGUCUUUCCUCGAAGCAAACGAAUAGCAGAAAAACAAAUAAAAUAAAAUAAAAGAGGAAGAAAACUACAAAAGGCGAAAGAAGUAUCUCAAUAACACAAAAGUCGUCUUCGAUCAAAAUCCCCAAUUCUUCGAAACCCUUGUUUGAUUCAAUUCUCAGAUCCGAAACAUUUCGCGAUGGGAAACACGGAGAAGCUGUUGAAUCAGAUCAUGGACUUGAAAUUCACGUCAAAAUCUCUUCAGCGCCAGGCGAGAAAAUGCGAGAAGGAAGAGAAAGCCGAGAAAUU